ACCGGCGCAAACGAGGUCGUAAAGAAUUAUGCUGUAGUUUUGAGUAAAAAAGGGAAGAAUGCGUUGCCAUGCUGAUUGGUCUGUCCCAAAUCCAUGGGCCAGAACCAGGAUUUUCUCGCCGGAGCCGACCACACGAACGUUGAGAGCUUCUAAGAGGGUGGUGCCCAUGUGCGGCUGGGGAAAGUGCUUGAGCUAGAACAAGGGAAGAAAAAUGAGUUUGUAGGAAGGACUUUUUGAUUGAUUGAAUCG
rnacentral:misc_RNA from 1 species